CAGUAGCCGCGGUAAUACGUAGGUGGCAAGCGUUGUCCGGAAUUAUUGGGCGUAAAGGGCUCGCAGGCGGUUUCUUAAGUCUGAUGUGAAAGCCCCCGGCUCAACCGGGGAGGGUCAUUGGAAACUGGGAAACUUGAGUGCAGAAGAGGAGAGUGGAAUUCCACGUGUAGCGGUGAAAUGCGUAGAGAUGUGGAGGAACACCAGUGGCGAAGGCGGCCCGCUGGACAUGUAUUGACGCUGAGGUGCGAAAGCGUGGGGAGCAAACAGGAUUAGAUACCCCAGUAGUCCCUGUCUCUUAUAA
rnacentral:rRNA from 1 species